GACGAACCGUCCAAACGUUAUUCGGAAUCACUGGGCUUAAAGGGUGCGUAGGCGGCGCGGCAAGUUGGGUGUGAAAUCCCUCGGCUCAACCGAGGAAUUGCGCCCAAAACUUCCGUGCUCGAGGAAGAUAGAGGUGAGCGGAACUUAGGGUGGAGCGGUGAAAUGCGUUGAUAUCCUAAGGAACACCGGUGGCGAAAGCGGCUCACUGGAUCUUUUCUGACGCUGAGGCACGAAAGCUAGGGGAGCGAAUGGG
rnacentral:rRNA from 1 species